GAUGAAGAACGCAGCGAAAUGCGAUAAGUAAUGUGAAUUGCAGAAUUCAGUGAAUCAUCGAAUCUUUGAACGCACAUUGCGCCCCUUGGUAUUCCGGGGGGCAUGCCUGUUCGAGCGUCAUUAUCACCCCUCAAGCUCAGCUUGGUGUUGGGGCCUGCCGUCAAGGCAGCCCUUAAAAUCAGUGGCGGCGCCAUCUGGCUCUAAGCGUAGUAAUACUUCUCGCUACAGGGCCCCGGUGGUGUCUUGCCAGAACCCCUCAUUUUUUAUGAUUGACCUCGGAUCAGGUAGGGAUACCCGCUGAACUUAAGCAUAUCAAUAAGCGGAGGA
rnacentral:misc_RNA from 1 species